rnacentral:siRNA from 1 species
UAGUCCACGCCACAAAUCAGCUGC